rnacentral:lncRNA from 1 species
UUUCUGGGUUUUAUUUCUGAUCCUAAAAGUAAAACAUAUUGUUCUAUUGAAAACUAUAGAAAAGCAUAGGAGAGGAAAACUAAAAUUAUGUUUCUGUCCUUUUUACAGCCAGGUAACUGUAUCUAUUUCACCUGGAGGAGAUCUGACCCUUUAUGUCAUUAAAUUAUAGCAUAUGUUAGAUAAUAGCAUAUAUUAAAUAAAAACAUCAACUAUCAUCUAAUAAUAUUGUUAUUACCUUCCUUUUCCAUGAAACACCCCAUCUCCCCCCAACACACACACACACACACACACACACACACACACACACACACAAAUCCUAUUAUUGAUUAGGUCUGAGUUAUCCAAAGAGCCCACAAUUAACCAGAAUCUUGGUUCAGUUUUUUCAUUCAUUCAACAGACAUUCACCAAAUACCUAGUAAGUGCAACAAACUCUUUUAAAUGCUAGAGAUAUAACAAUAACAGCAACAACAACUAGAUUUAUUUUCUUUAACAAGUUUUUCUUUUAAUUGUGUGGUCCUCUUGUCAAAUCUAAGACCACUUAAUGAAAAGGCAAAAAUGGUCAUGUAAUCUGAUCCAAAGAACAGCAAACAGUCUGGAAUAAUAUGGAUUUCUAACAACUCACUAGCUAAUUUUGGAAAUUAUUAAGUUUUAAAUGUCCUUACACAUUGGUUUAUAAUAUGCUCUGGUAAUCAAUAUUGAUAUAAGUUGAUAAAAAUUAUGACUUUUUUCAUGAAACCACCAAAUCAUUUCAUAAUCUACAGAAUUGAAUCCUUAGGUUGAUUAAAACCUAGGCUUAUAGAUAGGGGGACUAGAGAUAAGGGGUUUUUUCUUCCUUCUGUUGCUAGGACAAUCCCUGUUGUUUUGGGCAAUAUUCUCAAAAGCAUCUUGGCUUAGAAAAUAAAAUUUGUAGUCAAGUAACUUACGGAUCAAUGAUCUACAGAACAGAAUAUACCACCAUAUUUCAAAAGAAACAAAGUAAACAUGCAGGAGCCAAAUCUGAAUUUAUAAAAUUACUUUAUGAUAUUUAAGUUAAAUUUUUCUAUCCAUAACCAACUGUGGAUUCUCUAUAAGUUUUUCUGAGUGUUUUUUAAAUUAAUUAUUUGAAAACAAAAACAAUGUUGAUUAAUGGGAACUUGGGGUUUAGAGCAGAUUUUUAAUGGGUAGUGACAUAUGAUAUUUAUCUGCAGAAUCAGUAAAAGCUAUUAGCUUUUGGUUCCACCACAGAGAGACAGCAGCAUGCUAUGCAUGAUAUCCAGAAAAAACACUAAAAUAGUCUAACAAGCAAAUUUCAUUGUACCCUCAGGGGUGAUUUUUAGUCAAGAUCACUCCAAGUCUGCUAUAACAAAGGUCAGGAUAUAAAGAACACAGAGGUACUGUCCAAAGUGCCUUGAUCUUUUCUUGGUGACUUACAGUGUAACUGUCACCCACAACAUUCCCAAUUGACAGUCUUUCCUUUAAGUCUGAAAAUAUUAUUAUAUGUUUUACUUCACUUGUUUUUCUCAUUUGUAAGUUAGUGCAUGAAAUUUAUAUAUAUGCAUAAUUUGUUUUAAAAGAAAGACUUGCUCUGAAAUUACUUUUUAGAAUUAAAUCUGUUUGGAUAGAUUAUCAUUCUAUUGCAGCCAAUAAAACAAAAUUACUCCCUGUGUUUCUGGGGUUAAGAAUUUGGCCUAGCAAAUUCAUAUCUCAUGUAUCACUAAAUGUCAGUUCAUUAAUAAUUUUUAUGUGCCAUACUACACAGAUGCUAUUCUGAGAAAUUUAAUUCCAUGUAAAGAUCUCCUAAUGAUAUCUUUAAAAUUU